UGCGUAGGCGGACUAAUAAGUCAGUGGUGAAAUCUUUCGGCUCAACCGGGAAACUGCCAUUGAUACUGUUAGUCUUGAGUUCGGUUGAGGUAGGCGGAAUGUGUAAUGUAGCGGUGAAAUGCUUAGAUAUUACACAGAACACCAAUUGCGUAGGCAGCUUACUAGACCGACACUGACGCUGAGGCACGAAAGCGUGGGGACUAACAGGAUUAGAUACCCUGGUAGUCC
rnacentral:rRNA from 1 species